UCGGGAUUCGUGUAUUUUCUUUCAUUUUUGGUUUAAAAAGGAAAAAGGCCACAUUUUAGUGUUUUUUUAAUUUGCUAGGAUGGCAAAAACUUGUGUCGUUUGUGCCGCAUCAUGAUAAAAGGUGAUUCAAGCCGAUCUUUUCACAAAUUGCCUAAUCCUAAUAUAUGCCCAAAGGGAACAAUGGAUUUCAUUAAUGGAAAUCAACACAAUUAAAAAGAACAUAUUUGUUCAGAUCACAUCCUUAGAAGUGAUUUCUUAUAUAAGGAAGAUAAUAUUAUCAGUAGCCAGACUUUAUUAAAAAAAUCAGCUCUACCUCAAAGGAUUUCUGAUGCACUGGUUAAAAACACAGCAGCCGAUAAUUCAGUUAAUUUACCAAGUGAUUUACCCUUCAAAGCUACAGGGGUAGUUUUCCUGAAGAGUGCAAAAAAUUCUUUAGCUUCCAAAAUGGUAUAUAGUACAAACAGUGAAUCUAAUAUAGACAAAUCUGAUCAUUCAUCAUCAACAAUAACUGCAUCUGAGAUUAAUAGUUACCGUGAGGUCUAGGUCAACAAUUACUAUUUCUCAUCCAAGCCGUUUUUGUUUAACUGCUACACAUUCCCUGACUCUGCCAAGGAAAAGGUAA